CAUUAGAUAGUGAAAUGGCCAGGAGAUUAGUCAACAGUAUUUUUCAGUAAAGUGUAUUAUUGCUGUAACACUUUUGUUGACAUUGUAAAUAUUUGCUUAUUCUGAUAAUGUCACUCAUGUAUGAAUUUUAUUAUUAUUUUUAUCAGAUUGCUAUAUACAAUUGUUUUUAACAAAUAUUGAACAUUAAGCCUAAAAGGAACGAUAUUAAUGCUUUGUAAUUGUUAUUGUGAGGACACAAUUUCAAAGUAAGGGGAGACAAUCAACAAUGAUAAGUAACCUGGGUAUUAUGUGGUAACCGCUGCUUGGCUGUUUUUCUAAGUAACCAGCACCAGUCAGAGAGAAUGAGUGAAAGUGUAGACAUGACGUUCAUUCCAUAAAUGGACGUGAUUAUCAUUCUACACGUUUAACUUUGAUUCUACGAUGUACGUUAUGGCCUCUUAAGUGUUCUACAAUGUAUUAGCUUAGCAAGUAUUAUUAAAGGAACUGUGAACCUA